rnacentral:lncRNA from 1 species
UUUAUUUUUAACCUUACUUCACCCAAUUCUGUUGACACUUAAAUGAAGAACAGCAGAGACUUCCCCCCCCCCUCCCUCUAGUACAAUCCGGGAUUGGAAAUCCCAGCAGCCAGGGGAUCCCAGUGCCCAGGUCUGGGAGAGCCACCCCUGCCCAUCACCUGAGGGUGCCUGGCUGCAGGCUGGGAUGGCAGCGGGUACGGGGCAGUCUGUUCUUGCUGGAAGGGGAGUGUGUCCACAUGGGUGGUGUUUAUCCAAGCAGCUCCUUGGUCUUCGCUGCCAGCAGCUUGUCCAUCUCUGCUGCAGCACUGUCUGCCAUUUGCUGGAUCUGCUUUUCUAGCAGCCAAAUGGUGUCCUCAGACACUUUGCUCUUGAACUUCUUCACCUGGUUGACGCUUUUGCUUCGCACCUUCCUCAAGGCUUCUUUGGAUUUGUUGGUGGACUGCUUGGCGAGCUUGGCCAGGCUCUCCCUGUGCUCUCUGGUUACUUUAGGAACUGGCACCCGAAUUAGUGUCCCAUCCACUUCUG